AGUUCCAUAGUGUAGUGGUUAUCACGUUCCCUUUACACGGGAAAGGUCCUGGGUUCGAACCCCAGUGGGACUA
rnacentral:tRNA from 1 species